CAGUAGCCGCGGUAAUACGUAGGUGGCAAGCGUUGUCCGGAAUUAUUGGGCGUAAAGGGCUCGCAGGCGGUUCCUUAAGUCUGAUGUGGAAGCCCCCGGCUCAACCGGGGAGUGUCAUUGGAAACUGGGAAACUUGAGUGCAGAAGAGGAGAGUGGAAUUCCACGCGUAGCGGUGAAAUGCGUAGAGAUGUGGAGGAACACCAGUGGCGAAGGCGACUCUCUGGUCUGUAACUGACGCUGAGGAGCGAAAGCGUGGGGAGCGAACAGGAUUAGAGACCCCAGUAGUCCCUGUCUCUUAUAC
rnacentral:rRNA from 1 species